AAUGGGAAGGAAGGAAUGUUAGAAAGAGUAAAGCAAAGCACACGAGUGUGAAAUAAUGCUAAGGAAUCUUCAGGGAAGUUCUAAGCUUUGCGAUCAUGCCGUCAAGGUCAACUUCUGCCUUAGCAAGUAGUAGGCACCAAGGCUCCCAGGAAACGAAACCUAUGAGGUGGUCACAGGAGUAGCAAGCAAUGGAGUCUCACUGCCUCAGUGUCCUGAACUGCAGUCUUAUGGCACCACACCAUGUCUGGUUCUUUACUGUGGCCACUUGAAAGGUUAAAACGACAUACACAGCUCUCACUAUAUUUCUAUGGAAUAGUACUAUUUCAGGUUUAGGUGAAGAACAGAACUCUGAUGAUAGUGAACGCUUGAAUGUGCAAGAAAUAAAGAUAACCCAGAGAACAAACUAUUACUGUCUAAAAUACAUAUCCAUUUAACUCAC